AAAAAACAGAAAAAAUGUCUUGUACGUCUUUUUUUUGUUCCCGUAGAAAGUUCUGUUUCUUCAAUCUAUCUCUUUGUCGUUGCCGUUCGUUUUGCUGGCGAGAAGUGCACAAACAGCUAUGAAGUUUUCACUUAAAGGAGAGCCAGAGUCUAGAUCUACUGAUGACUACUGGAGAUUUUGGGAUACAGAGGUGUGUAAUACCAAGAACGUUAAAUCGGUUAAAUCAUGAAGAAAAAAACCUCAGCCCCUUACAUAUUGGUUAAGAAUCAGGCUGAACUUUGGUUUGUUCGCGGAUUCCAAAUAAUUAUUGCGAGGACUGGUCUCGAUGUGAGAUCUUUAUUACUUCCUAAGGGAGAAACUAAGGGACAGGGGACAUAAGUGAUCUAUAGAAAAGCUCAGGCAGAGACAUGGUGAAGGAGAGAGAGAUAAGAAAAUGUUGUAACAUCACAUAGCAAAGGGAAGGCACACUAACCGUGUAGUAAAUCUUAAAUGGAUGUAUUCUUAUUUAAAUUCAUUCGAUCAUCAUUUAGUACUAUGAUCAUAUGCUGAUUUUGAAUUUUUUUGUGUUGCAGUAUAUUGGACGUGGAGAGAACCACUACCAGUAAUCAAGAUGCAAAGAAAAAUGCCAACUUGUCUGGACAAGAGUCUUUUUCUAAGUGUCAACUCCCAGUCCUACAUUUCCUCUUUUCCGGUUCAUCAUAUGAGGAAAACGAUGUGCGUGAGAGUGCUCUCUAUGACGAAAAGGAUGAGAAAAAUCUUGCGUAAGAAAGAGGCGUUGUCAGGAUGACAAUAAACUCUUUUGAGCAAUCAUGUUGUUGGAGAUUAUAAAGAGAUGUGAUAAGAAGGACAUUAAUAUGCAAAGGUGAUAGCGUAACAGAUUCGGCGAAUAUCAAAGCUGAGACAGAGUUGAUAGACACCCCAAAACAGAAGGACUUUCUCACCAAAUUACGGAUAGGUUCUGGUAGUAUCUCUGGAUCUUCUAUCUAUUAAAGUUUUGAAACCAUUUGUUAGUUUUAAAUUGCACUAACGUGAUAUGCUAAAAAAUAUAUAUCAAAAAAUACCUCUGCAUAAGAGCCAUCUCAUAGAUCAUCAGCCUCAACACCAACAAUGGAUGUUGCAACAGAGCCUAGUAACAUUAGCCUACAUGUCUAUGUGUCAUCUUUCACGACCACAUGGAGUUUGAACCUUAUAAAUCACAGAAAAGCGAUUGGCAAAAUGUAUGAUAUAUAAAAAAUUAAAAACGUAACACAUGUAAUUCGAUUGUAAACACUUACUUGGGGGAAACAUUAGUCACAUUAGCAUUACAAAUUUCACAAUGGAACUUUGGAUUGUCAAUUCUCGUCAUCUGUUCAUAAUCAAUAUUUGGGAGCUUAUUGACUUUUUUGCUGUGACGUUUACUCCCAAAGUAAAACCAUGCCCAAUCAGUGUCUAUUGCUUCAAUCGUGCAUAUGAUUUUACAAAUCUCCACCUGCAUAUAAGUGUUUUUGUUGGACCAAGAAAGUGAUGUCAAACUUAAAUGCAAUAAACAAUCUCAGAAAAUCAAAUUUAGACAGAGAAUUCAAUGAACAAACCAUUAAGUGAUUACCUGAGUUGCAUCAAUGAUUUCUGAAAUCAGCUUGAUCUCUGCAUCAUUCCAAUCAUAUUGAAUGCGUUUACCAUCUUUCUUUCCAGUAGAUUUCUCAACCGUAGCUAGUUGUAAAUGAUCAGCUGACAGACUACAAAAUGAUGAAUCAUAAGCAUCAAUCAGUAACACGUUAGUGUAAACAAUAUAAAAUAAAAACAAAUAGGAAUAUACCUUUCAGUUAACUUUAAAACUUCUGGUUCUGUUGGAUUGAGGUACAGGCGUGAUGCAUCAAAGGCGUUUGUGAUUUGUACCUCUCCUAGUACAGACAAAGUUUUAAUUUAAAAACAUAUGGAGUAAAUGAUAUGAAAUAAUCAUAAAGUUUAAAGUAAAAUACCUCUAAAGAAGCUCAAAUUGGCAAACCGUAUCAAACAAACAAAAGUUCGAUCAUCACAUUUCUCAAUAAAAGCUUCUAAUUGCUCAGCAUAAGUUCCCCAAAGACAACAUGCAAGAUCGUUUCCUCUGUUAAGUUAUAGAUUAGUAAGACUUUUUUUAAAACAGAAAAGUAAUGUCUAAAAUUGAGGAAAUCAGAACAUACUGUGAAUCAACUAAACGAAAUUCGACCAUUUUUCUGUCUUCUCCUUGUGCCUUGACGGUAAUGAUAUCCCCAAGGUCAUGAACUCUCCCUAUCACAAUCUGUUAAAAACAGAGUAAUUUAUAUUUUCCCCAUUUAUAAAAUGUUGUCGGACAACAAAACUGUUUCAAGAUAAAAAAGAUUGUAAUAGAUAAACAUAGUACCUAUAAGGUAAACAGCCUCUUUUUGUCUGUUUUUUCAAUUGAUUCAUAAUUGGACAGAGACAGAAAGAUACGAUCAUCAGCUAAAUCCGACCCUCUUAUCACAGUUUCAUCUGAGAUACCCAUCUUGUAUGGAUGGCGUGUUGUUCGAUAUUUGCCACCAGCUGGAUUCAUUUGUACAUUUUCAAUGACUCCCCAUUUUUCUAAUGGUAUUGCACGUUGAACUUUGGCCAUGUGUGUUCUUUUGCAAGAGGCCUGGAUUUUGUUUCCCUAACAAAAAAAAUUGGUAAUAUUAGUUUAGAUAGUUAAAGCAGUAACCCUCAAUAUAACAAACAUAUAGAAAUAAUAAUUUACCCAUUGGUCUGCUAAAACCAUCUCAAAGGUAUCUCCAAAAAGUGUGUUCUGCCUCCAGGAAUGUAAGCACUUAACUUGAACUCGCCACUUAUUUUUGAAUGGUCUGAGUUUUGUGAGAGGAUGAAAAGUAGCAAGGGUCGACAUUUUUAGAGGAAUUGAGUCGAAUGAUUUGGUUUUCACGUAAUGGG